rnacentral:tRNA from 1 species
GAUCCGCUAGCUCAGUCGGUAGAGCAUCACACUUUUAAUGUGGGGGUCUUGGGUUCGAACCCCAAGCAGGUCACCA